rnacentral:rRNA from 1 species
GAUGAACGCUGGCGGCGUGCUUAACACAUGCAAGUCGAACGGAAAGGCUCCUGCUUGCCGGGGUACUCGAGUGGCGAACGGGUGAGUAACACGAGGGUGAUCUGCCCUGCACUUCGGGAUAAGCCUGGGAAACUGGGUCUAAUACCGGAUAGGACGAGGGUUUGGAUGCAAUUGUGGAAAGUUUUUCGGUGUGGGCUGAGCUCGCGGCCUAUCAGCUUGUUGGUGGGGUAAUGGCCUACCAAGGCGUCGUCGGGUAGCCGGCCUGAGAGGGUGUACGGCCACAUUGGGACUGAGAUACGGCCCAGACUCCUACGGGAGGCAGCAGUGGGGAAUAUUGCACAAUGGGCGCAAGCCUGAUGCAGCGGCGCCGCGUGGGGGAUGACGGCCUUCGGGUUGUAAACUCCUUUCGCUAGGGACGAAGCGCAAGUGACGGUACCUGGAGAAGAAGCACCGGCUAACUACGUG